rnacentral:tRNA from 1 species
GGCCUCAUAGCUCAGCUGGUAGAGCAUUCGCGGCACUAAAGUUAGGGUAGUGACAAUGCGUGGGUUCGAAUCCCACCGGGGCCA